rnacentral:rRNA from 1 species
GACGAAGGAUGCAAGCGUUAUCCGGAUUCAUUGGGUUUAAAGGGUGCGAAGGCGGACUUGUAAGUCAGUGGUGAAAUCUCUUCGCUUAACGAAGAAACUGCCAUUGAUACUGCAGGUCUAGAGUAUAGAUGACGUUGGCGGAAUAUGACAUGUAGUGGUGAAAUACUUAGAUAUGUCAUAGAACACCGAUUGCGAAGGCAGCUAACGAAACUAUAACUGACGCUGAGGCACGAAAGUGCGGGGAUCAAACAGG